rnacentral:rRNA from 1 species
CGAGAGUUUGAUCCUGGCUCAGGACGAACGCUGGCGGCGUGCCUAAUACAUGCAAGUCGAGCGGAGUUUUGAAAAGCUUGCUUUUCAAAACUUAGCGGCGGACGGGUGAGUAACACGUGGGCAACCUGCCCUUGAGACGGGGAUAACUCCGGGAAACCGGAGCUAAUACCGGAUAACACAUAUCUUCGCAUGAGGAUAUGUUAGAAGGUGGCUUUUAGCUACCACUCAAGGAUGGGCCCGCGGCGCAUUAGCUAGUUGGUGAGGUAACGGCUCACCAAGGCGACGAUGCGUAGCCGACCUGAGAGGGUGAUCGGCCACACUGGGACUGAGACACGGCCCAGACUCCUACGGGAGGCAGCAGUAGGGAAUCUUCCGCAAUGGACGAAAGUCUGACGGAGCAACGCCGCGUGAGUGAUGAAGGUUUUCGGAUCGUAAAGCUCUGUUGUUAGGGAAGAACAAGUACCUGUURAAUAAGCAGGUACCUUGACGGUACCUAACCAGAAAGCCACGGCUAACUACGUGCCAGCAGCCGCGGUAAUACGUAGGUGGCAAGCGUUGUCCGGAAUUAUUGGGCGUAAAGCGCGCGCAGGCGGUUCCUUAAGUCUGAUGUGAAAGCCCACGGCUCAACCGUGGAGGGUCAUUGGAAACUGGGGAACUUGAGUGCAGAAGAGGAGAGCGGAAUUCCACGUGUAGCGGUGAAAUGCGUAGAGAUGUGGAGGAACACCAGUGGCGAAGGCGGCUCUCUGGUCUGUAACUGACGCUGAGGCGCGAAAGCGUGGGGAGCGAACAGGAUUAGAUACCCUGGUAGUCCACGCCGUAAACGAUGAGUGCUAGAGUGUUAGAGGGUUUCCGCCCUUUAGUGCUGCAGCAAACGCAUAAGCACUCCGCUU